GAGGAAACAUCCCAAGAUCUGUGCUUACUUCCCAUUUCUUCAUUAGCUGAAUCUAUACGAAUGCACAACAAGCCAGCCGGGUGAUUAACAGACUCAGGAUUUGUUAGCAUUUUGAUGAAACCGGAACUCAAGAGCUUCAGCUGAGAUCAGUGCCAGCUUGUGCACUGAGUUAUGCAAACAUGUAAAGAUCUGACACCUGCCAAGAAGAGCAAACACGAGAGCAAGUCAAAACAAACAGUGAGACGUCUACCAGCUCAUGACUGUGGCAGAACUGUGGUUGGGGAUCCCUGGCUGCAGCUAUCUCCUCUUUACCUGCCUUGUCUGUGCAGACCUGCAUGAAUUGCUUGAGAGUUGGGAGCAGGUUUUUAGGAGUGGGAGGUUGGCUGCCCUUUCCUACAGAUGGCUCAUCAGAAGACUUUCUCGGGGUACUCACUUCCACGAGGAGGAAGCAUACAAAAGCAGAUGAGAUAAAAACAGCGAAGCUGAAGGCUUUGUGUGAGCAGAGAGUGAAAAGGCAUCUGAGUAUGACCAAACUCCAACGGACUGGGGAGAUUCCUGGAGCAGAGGUUUGCCUUCAAGCAAGGAGAACUGUGUGAUGUGUAAGUCUUCUGGCUCUGCAAGCAGCUCGCCAAGGUACAUAUGGCUGAGAGCAACCAGGGCUUAGGCAGGGCUUGUUAGCACCAGGUCCCAGGGUAGGCUUUCACUCUUGUGGGUAGGGGCACGGUAGACACUGUUUCCCAUUACAGGGUAUGAGCAAGGCUCAGCACCUCCAGGUCUCCAGCUUCUAGCAGAGCCUACAAGGUCUCGUUUACUGCUUGUUUAUUGUAUCCUUCUCCCAAGAGAGACUAAUGCGCAUCUUCCUUCACUCCUUUCCCUACCAAAAGCACAGCUGGCAAUGCUUCCCUGAAGCAGUGUGCCCCUGAAGCUGUGCAAAAGCUUCUCCUUGUGCUUUCAGGCCCUGGCUAUCGAAAUGGAUGGUUUAAGUGGUCAGUACUGCUGCCCUGAUAGGAACCACUGCAGCGGCACACAUGCUCAUUACAUGCUCCAAGUAGCCAUUGGUAUGCAAACAGCACCACGAGUUCAGCAUUUAUCCUUAAUAGCAAGCAAAUUCAGAGUUAUACCUGUUGUGCUCUGCCUAUGGCUUUAUUAUAAAACAUUGCUCUUGAUUUGAUGACUUUGUUUAAAUUCGCCCUGAGCCAUGUUGUGAGCCUAGCUUCUCCUUUAAAAUUAGCGUAGAUUUUUAUAUACAUUAUAAAUAUUUAACCCCCUGACUGACACAAGCAUCAACCCUCUCGCCUUUGCAAUGUAAAGGAAAUCUUAUGGAGUGUGCACCUACAUCAGUAUUCCCCCGUUUGAAGCAGUCUCUCAGACUCGAGACUGAAGGGAUGAAUAAAAUCAAACUUACUGAUUAUCA
rnacentral:lncRNA from 1 species